rnacentral:tRNA from 1 species
GCCGCUAUAGCUCAGUGGUAGAGCGCAUCAUUGGUAAUGAUGAGGUCGAGAGUUCAAUUCUCUCUAGCGGCACCA